AUGGCAGAAAUUCCUAAUACCUUCUCACAUUUUAUUCCUUUAGCUCUUAUUCCAUUCAGGAGUGGAAAAUAUGCAAGUGACCCUUGCAUGCCAAGCAGCUCAGAAAAAUGCCUUGAUGGUGGCAGUCCAACAGGCAUCCUUCUAUCACACGCCCUGGUGGGGCUGUCCUGCCAAUGUGAAGGAAAUAAGUUCAGAUCUGAGAAAUCAUGGUGGAAUGGGUCCAGCCAGAAGAAGAAAUUCCAGAAUUGUGAAUGGCAUAGAGAACUUACUGUUAGCCCCAACUCCAAAAGUUCCAGACACUCUCACUCAUCCUUCAGAAAGAUUCCAGGCUACCAAAAGGGCUCCGGAGGCUUUUGUGUCUAUUCAACUAGAAAAGGUGGGGCUGCGGGACAUGAUGCUGAACGCCUUCCUCCUCAGGAAACAAACCAUGGCCGACAGAAUGAAGAGCCUUGUGAGUUUAGUGGGAAGGGCUCCCUAAAGCUCUCAUUAUCUUUUACAUUUGAGCAAAUAAAAAUUCUUAACUUGUAAUCUGUUGCUUUCAGCCUAUUUGGAUAGGACUAUUGAAAAUAUAAAGAACUGUGAAAGGGAAUUCAAUAAGAAAUAGAAAGGAAGUAAUUCAAGCUAAUUGCAGUCUAGUUUUAAAAAUAUGCACAUUUUUUCCAAGACCACAUUUUAUUUUGUCGCUUUCUAAACGGAACUAGUUUCAGCACCUGCUCUGGAACAUAAGCCCACUCUUGAGUGACCCACAGAUGUUCAGGGUGUUUAGACAAGGUGAGCAAAGACUCUUACUAUUGAAUUCAUAUGUUAUCUGAUUUUCCAGAUAUUAAU
rnacentral:lncRNA from 1 species